CUGAAAUGUAGCUCCUGUAUCAGGCAAAGAGUAAAAAAUUCUCUGACCUUCUGUUCCAAGGCAUGUAAGCAGUAUGGCCCUCUUUCUGGCAUAUGGCCAAGCAUUCCCUGUUGUGUGAAUUGCCAGCAAAUAAUUGUCAAAAUCUUCAGCCACGUCUGACACUGUACAGCUGUCCAGGACAGGACAAAAAUGGAGCAGGACAGGGCACAUUAGCAGCCAUCUUUCACAAAACAAAAUCCUCGAUGCCAAUUUGUUAGGUUGGGAGCUUCACCAAAAGAAAUCAGACACAGGAGCUGCAACCAACUUGAUUGUUUAUUUGUCCUCUGCAGUAACACACUUCCACAUCCUUCGCAAAUUGAAAACUCCUCAACUCAGUAUGUGCCAUAGUGACACCUAAUGGACAAAUGCAGGAACUGCAUCUUAAUACUGAAUUUUACAGAACACAACAAAAGUGUUCCAAUCUGCGUGGACAGAGUCUUUUUUCAAAUAUAGAAAAGAACUUAAUAAAUCCCGCUUAGCGUAUCUGGCCUCACAGACCGAGAUUAAUAAAAAAUAAUUCUAGCACUUUCUUUAGUGUUAUUUCCAAACUGACUAAAAACCAGGCAGGUACUGAACCUCAAAUCAGGGCCUGAUUUUGACACGGCGUACGAAGCCCCUGUGCGACGUCCGCGGCUGUUCGUUUUCUCCGCAAUUGCGUCACAUUGUUCGCUAAAGCCAUGCGAACACCGUCUCCGCACGAAGUUUGCCGAGGCCUUUAGGCGUAUGCCGACUCAGGUCCCCCACUUCACUUUCAAAAUUAUUUUUCCCGUGGAUGUGCUUUAAGUGAUUAAACCAAACGAGUGGUUCACCACUCUGGAUUUAAAGGACGCAUAUUUUCAGAUUCCCAUAGCGGCUGUACACAGGCGUUUUCUCCACCUCGUCUUUCAGAACCGAACGUAUCAGUAUCGCGUUCUUCCGUUCAAGCUUUUGCUAGCUCCGAGGGUCUUUACCAGAUGCAUGGCGGUGGAAUUAUCUCCACUGACUCACGCUGGACAACUGGCUGAUCUGUUUACCCUCACAGGAGCGCGUGCUGGCGGAUCUCAAUGUGUUGCGAUCUCACGUAGCAGGGCUGGGGCUUUCCAUCAAUCUGGAGAAAAGCUCCCUCUCUCCGAGUCAGUCCGCUCAGUUCAUAGGCAUGAACUUGGACGUGCCAGCCAUGAAAAAGACACAGCGCUUGUUGAGUAUUCUGGGUUUACUCUCCAGAGUUCAUGCAGGCCGCCGCGUCCACUACAGUCACCUGUAACGUCUGCUGAGAAUGUUCACAGCGGCUGUGUGCAAUUUGCCGCUCGGUUUGCUGGAACUGCGACCGUUUCAGAUCUGGAUGAAUCAUUUGGGGCUCGAUCCGAUCCGUCACAAACACAGGCUGGUGCUGAUCGAUCAGGGGUGCGAGGAGGCUCUCGCCCCGUGGAGGCGCCGCUCUUUUCUCAUGGCGGGGGUACCGCUGGGGGUCGUGGCAUCACGUCGGGAGAUAAUCACCACCGACGCAUCUCUCACGGGUUGGGGUGCUGUAUGGCAACGCAGUGCUGUGCCGGUUCUUGGAGUUUUUACCAAGCCCAGGACCACAUAAAUCUCCUCGAGCUGAGAACAGUUUACGCCACGC
ensembl:lncRNA